CGGCCUUAGUGGCGCACGGGUGCGUAACGCGUGGGAAUCUGCCCCUUGGUUCGGAAUAACAGUUGGAAACGACUGCUAAUACCGGAUGACGACGUAAGUCCAAAGAUUUAUCGCCGAGGGAUGAGCCCGCGUAGGAUUAGGUAGUUGGUGUGGUAAAGGCGCACCAAGCCGACGAUCCUUAGCUGGUCUGAGAGGAUGAUCAGCCACACUGGGACUGAGACACGGCCCAGACUCCUACGGGAGGCAGCAGUGGGGAAUAUUGGACAAUGGGCGAAAGCCUGAUCCAGCAAUGCCGCGUGAGUGAUGAAGGCCUUAGGGUUGUAAAGCUCUUUUACCCGGGAUGAUAAUGACAGUACCGGGAGAAUAAGCUCCGGCUAACUCCGUGCCAGCAGCCGCGGUAAUACGGAGGGAGCUAGCGUUAUUCGGAAUUACUGGGCGUAAAGCGCACGUAGGCGGCUUUGUAAGUAAGAGGUGAAAGCCCAGAGCUCAACUCUGGAAUUGCCUUUUAGACUGCAUCGCUUGAAUCAUGGAGAGGUCAGUGGAAUUCCGAGUGUAGAGGUGAAAUUCGUAGAUAUUCGGAAGA
rnacentral:rRNA from 1 species